ensembl:lncRNA
GAAAACAGAGAGGAAGAAGAAGAGAAUGAGGAGGGGAAAAGAGAGAGGAAGAAGAGAAUGAGGAGGGGAAAAGAGAGAAGAAGAAGAGAGUGCGGAGGGGGAAAGAGAGAGGAAGAAGAAGAGAAUGAGGAGGGGAAAAGAGAGAGGAAGAAGAAGAGAAUGAGGAGGGGAAAAGAGAGAGGAAGAAGAAGAGAAUGAGGAGGGGAAAAGAGAGAGGAAGAAGACGAGAAUGAGGAGGGGAAAAGAGAGAGGAAGAAGACGAGAAUGAGGAGGGGAAAAGAGGGAGGAAGAAGAAGAGAAUGAGGAGGGGAAAAGAGAGAAGAGGAAGAGAAUGAGGAGGGGGUAAAGAGAGAGGAAGAAGAAGAGAAUGAGGAGGGGAAAAGAGAGAGGGGGAAGAAGAGAAUGAGGAGGGGAAAAGAGAGAGGACGAAGAAGAGAAUGAGGGGGGAAAAGAGAGGAAGAAGAAGAGAAUGAGGAGGGGAAAAGAGAGAGGGGGAAGAAGAGAAUGAGGAGGGGAAAAGAGAGAGGACGAAGAAGAGAAUGAGGGGGGAAAAGAGAGGAAGAAGAAGAGAAUGAGGAGGGGAAAAGAGAGAGGAAGUAGACGAGAAUGAGGAG